rnacentral:tRNA from 1 species
AAGGGUAUAGCUCAGUGGCAGAGUGCAUGCCUGGCAUGCAUGAGGUCCUGGGUUCAAUCCCCAGUCCCUCCA